AUAUAAGACUCCAACAGAAGAUACCUUCUGCCCAGAUUAAAGGAUGGACGAUGGCAAGACUAAGCCUGUCUCAAUGUGGGAUAUCUGAAUUUACACACACUCCAAUAAAUUGUGGAAUUACACAGCAUGCAUUGCACAUUACAUACAUUACACAGCAAACAACUGCAGAGUGGUCCUUUAAAGACACACGGCUGAGGGGCCACAGAUGUAGCAUGGACUGACUACUGCUGUUUGAAUUG
rnacentral:lncRNA from 1 species